rnacentral:rRNA from 1 species
UGGGGAAUAUUGGACAAUGGGGGGAACCCUGAUCCAGCCAUGCCGCGUGUGUGAAGAAGGCCUUAUGGUUGUAAAGCACUUUAAGCGAGGAGGAGGGUACUGGUAUUAAUACUACCAGCUACUGGACGUUACUCGCAGAAUAAGCACCGGCUAACUCUGUGCCAGCAGCCGCGGUAAUACAGAGGGUGCGAGCGUUAAUCGGAGUUACUGGGCGUAAAGCGUGCGUAGGCGGCUAAUUGAGUCGGAUGUGAAAUCCCCGAGCUUAACUUGGGAAUUGCAUUCGAUACUGGUUAGCUAGAGUGUGGGAGAGGAUGGUAGAAUUCCAGGUGUAGCGGUGAAAUGCGUAGAGAUCUGGAGGAAUACCGAUGGCGAAGGCAGCCAUCUGGCCUAACACUGACGCUGAGGUACGAAAGCAUGGGGAGCAAACAGG